rnacentral:rRNA from 1 species
GACGAACGCUGGCGGCGUGCCUAACACAUGCAAGUCGAGCGAUGAAACUUCUUCGGAAGUGGAUUAGCGGCGGACGGGUGAGUAACACGUGGGCAACCUACCUCAUAGUGGGGAAUAGCCUCUCGAAAGGGAGAUUAAUACCGCAUAAGAUUGCAGCUUCGCAUGAAGCAGCAAUUAAAGGAUUUAUUCGCUAUGAGAUGGGCCCGCGGCGCAUUAGCUAGUUGGUGAGGUAACGGCUCACCAAGGCGACGAUGCGUAGCCGACCUGAGAGGGUGAUCGGCCACAUUGGGACUGAGACACGGCCCAGACUCCUACGGGAGGCAGCAGUGGGGAAUAUUGCACAAUGGGGGAAACCCUGAUGCAGCAACGCCGCGUGAGUGAUGACGGUCUUCGGAUUGUAAAACUCUGUCUUUGGGGACGAUAAUGACGGUACCCAAGGAGGAAGCCACGGCUAACUACGUGCCAGCCGCCGCCGUAA